rnacentral:rRNA from 1 species
UACGUAGGGUGCGAGCGUUGUCCGGAAUUAUUGGGCGUAAAGAGCUUGUAGGCGGUCUGUCGCGUCUGCUGUGAAAAUCCGGGGCUCAACCCCGGACUUGCAGUGGGUACGGGCAGACUAGAGUGUGGUAGGGGAGACUGGAAUUCCUGGUGUAGCGGUGAAAUGCGUAGAUAUCGGGAGGAACAUCAGUGGCGAAAGCGGCACCCUGGCAUUAGCCUGACGCUCAGGUGCGAAAGCGUGGGGAGCGAACGGG